rnacentral:lncRNA from 1 species
GAGGGAGCAUGUUCUUCAACACUUUGAUAAAUCUGAGCCUCCAAAUUCCGAUUUUUCCUACUCCCCACUCAAAAGGUUUUGGUUAUUUUGACCUAAAAUUGGUGAAGUUCAGUUUAUAAUCCAACUUUGAAUUCUUGCUUUUCGCCGGCGAUUUUUCCGGCCACCCCUGCUCUUCUAUUUUCUUCCUAUUCUUUCUUCUGUUUUUUGUGGGUGUGUGUGGGUGUGUUCUGCUUUCUUGGACAGGUGCCUUAUUUUUCCGGUGAGGAUUUUCGGCAGCUACAUAACUUCCGGCGACUCCCGUUCAGAGUUUUGGCAGGACGCAACAGAACUACACGUUCCGAUAAGCUUCAGGAUAACUUACCCCAGGUACUAGUCGCGGCAGCGAGGCCAGUUCGUGGCCUUUGGGAGUGAAGAGCUAAGCAACACCGGUCGGGACGUGCAAGAGUCGGUAGCAGUUUACUUUGGGCGCAUCAAAGCCUACUUUCAGGU